rnacentral:rRNA from 1 species
GGGGGCACGGGGGGCCUACGGGAGGCAGCAGUGGGGAAUAUUGCACAAUGGGGGAAACCCUGAUGCAGCAACGCCGCGUGAGUGAUGAAGGCCUUCGGGUUGUAAAGCUCUGUCUUUGGGGACGAUAAUGACGGUACCCAAGGAGGAAGCCACGGCUAACUACGUGCCAGCAGCCGCGGUAAUACGUAGGUGGCAAGCGUUGUCCGGAUUUACUGGGCGUAAAGGGAGCGUAGGUGGAUGUUUAAGUGGGAUGUGAAAUACCUGGGCUUAACUUGGGUGCUGCAUUCCAAACUGGAUAUCUAGAGUGCAGGAGAGGAAAGUGGAAUUCCUAGUGUAGCGGUGAAAUGCGUAGAGAUUAGGAAGAACACCAGUGGCGAAGGCGACUUUCUGGACUGUAACUGACACUGAGGCUCGAAAGCGUGGGGAGCAAACAGGAUUAGAUACCCUGGUAGUCCACGCCGUAAACGAUGGAUACUAGGUGU